AACGAACGCUGGCGGCGUGCUUAACACAUGCAAGUCGAACGCGAAAGGGAUCUUCGGAUUCCCGGUAGAGUGGCGCACGGGUGAGUAACGCGUAGGAAUAUACCUGGUAGUGGGGGACAACCCGGCGAAAGCCGGGCUAAUACCGCAUACGAUCUACGGAUGAAAGCAGGGGACCGCAAGGCCUUGCGCUAUCAGAUUAGCCUGCGUCGGAUUAGCUAGUUGGUGAGGUAAAGGCUCACCAAGGCAACGAUCCGUAGCUGGUUUGAGAGAACGACCAGCCACACUGGGACUGAGACACGGCCCAGACUCCUACGGGAGGCUG
rnacentral:rRNA from 1 species